rnacentral:rRNA from 1 species
UACGUAGGGGGCAAGCGUUGUCCGGAUUUAUUGGGCGUAAAGAGCGUGUAGGCGGCUAGGUAGGUCCGUUGUGAAAACUCGAGGCUCAACCUCGAGACGUCGAUGGAAACCAUCUAGCUAGAGUCCGGAAGAGGAGAGUGGAAUUCCUGGUGUAGCGGUGAAAUGCGCAGAUAUCAGGAAGAACACCCGUGGCGAAGGCGGCUCUCUAGUACGUGACUGACGCUGAGACGCGAAAGCGUGGGGAGCGAACAGG